UACGGAGGGUGCAAGCGUUAUCCGGAAUUACUGGGCUUAAAGGGUACGUAGGUGGUUAGUUAAGUCAUAAGUGAAAGACCGUUGCUUAACGACGGUAUUGCUAAUGAAACUGGCUGACUUGAAACAGGUUAGGGUUUGCGGAAUGCGUCAUGUAGCGGUGAAAUGCAUAGAUAUGACGUAGAACACCGAAAGCGAAGGCAGCGAGCUGAGCCUUGUUUGACACUGAGGUACGAAAGUGUGGGUAGCGAACAGG
rnacentral:misc_RNA from 1 species